rnacentral:rRNA from 1 species
ACGGAAGGCAGCAGUGGGGAAUAUUGCACAAUGGGGGAAACCCUGAUGCAGCGACGCCGCGUGAGUGAAGAAGUAUUUCGGUAUGUAAAGCUCUAUCAGCAGGGAAGAUAAUGACGGUACCUGACUAAGAAGCCCCGGCUAACUACGUGCCAGCAGCCGCGGUAAUACGUAGGGGGCAAGCGUUAUCCGGAUUUACUGGGUGUAAAGGGAGCGUAGACGGCAUAGCAAGUCUGAAGUGAAAAUCCAGAGCUCAACUCUGGAACUGCUUUGGAAACUGCCAGGCUAGAGUGCAGGAGGGGCAAGCGGAAUUCCUAGUGUAGCGGUGAAAUGCGUAGAUAUUAGGAGGAACACCAGUGGCGAAGGCGGCCUGCUGGACUGUUACUGACGCUGAGGCACGAAAGCGUGGGGAGCAAACAGGAUUAGAUACCCUGGUA